UGUGAGGGUUGCUGGAGGUAUCAGAAGUGCGAAUGCUGACAUAAGUAACGAUAAAGCGGGUGAAAAGCCCGCUCGCCGGAAGACCAAGGGUUCCUGUCCAACGUUAAUCGGGGCAGGGUGAGUCGACCCCUAAGGCGAGGCCGAAAGGCGUAGUCGAUGGGAAACGGGUUAAUAUUCCCGUACUUGGUGUUACUGCGAAGGGGGGACGGAGAAGGCUAUGUUGGCCGGGCGACGGUUGUCCCGGUUUAAGCGUGUAGGUGUGUGUUCCAGGUAAAUCCGGUUCACUUUAACACUGAGGCGUGAUGACGAGGCACUACGGUGCUGAAGCAACAAAUGCCCUGCUUCCAGGAAAAGCCUCUAAGCAUCAGGUAACAUCAAAUCGUACCCCAAACCGACACAGGUGGUCAGGUAGAGAAUACCAAGGCGCUUGAGAGAACUCGGGUGAAGGAACUAGGCAAAAUGGUGCCGUAACUUCGGGAGAAGGCACGCUGACACGUAGGUGAAGUGAUUUACUCAUGGAGCUGAAGUCAGUCGAAGAUACCAGCUGGCUGCAACUGUUUAUUAAAAACACAGCACUGUGCAAACACGAAAGUGGACGUAUACGGUGUGACGCCUGCCCGGUGCCGGAAGGUUAAUUGAUGGGGUCAGCGCAAGCGAAGCUCCUGAUCGAAGCCCCGGUAAACGGCGGCCGUAACUAUAACGGUCCUAAGGUAGCGAAAUUCCUUGUCGGGUAAGUUCCGACCUGCACGAAUGGCGUAAUGAUGGCCAGGCUGUCUCCACCCGAGACUCAGUGAAAUUGAACUCGCUGUGAAGAUGCAGUGUACCCGCGGCAAGACGGAAAGACCCCGUGAACCUUUACUAUAGCUUGACACUGAACAUUGAGCCUUGAUGUGUAGGAUAGGUGGGAGGCUUUGAAGUGUGGACGCCAGUCUGCAUGGAGCCGACCUUGAAAUACCACCCUUUAAUGUUUGAUGUUCUAACGUGGACCCGUAAUCCGGGUUGCGGACAGUGUCUGGUGGGUAGUUUGACUGGGGCGGUCUCCUCCUAAAGAGUAACGGAGGAGCACGAAGGUUGGCUAAUCCUGGUCGGACAUCAGGAGGUUAGUGCAAUGGCAUAAGCCAGCUUGACUGCGAGCGUGACGGCGCGAGCAGGUGCGAAAGCAGGUCAUAGUGAUCCGGUGGUUCUGAAUGGAAGGGCCAUCGCUCAACGGAUAAAAGGUACUCCGGGGAUAACAGGCUGAUACCGCCCAAGAGUUCAUAUCGACGGCGGUGUUUGGCACCUCGAUGUCGGCUCAUCACAUCCUGGGGCUGAAGUAGGUCCCAAGGGUAUGGCUGUUCGCCAUUUAAAGUGGUACGCGAGCUGGGUUUAGAACGUCGUGAGACAGUUCGGUCCCUAUCUGCCGUGGGCGCUGGAGAACUGAGGGGGGCUGCUCCUAGUACGAGAGGACCGGAGUGGACGCAUCACUGGUGUUCGGGUUGUCAUGCCAAUGGCACUGCCCGGUAGCUAAAUGCGGAAGAGAUAAGUGCUGAAAGCAUCUAAGCACGAAACUUGCCCCGA
rnacentral:rRNA from 1 species